CCCUUUCGUUUUAUCAACCAAACAAAUCACCCAAUUCGUCUUAUGAGACGUGGCUAAAAGCCGGUAAAGUACGGGUACAAAACGUCGGCUGGUAGUCGUGGGAGAUACAUACAUUGUACUUUGGUCGUUUAACUUAUGUUAUUGUGUCAUUGGUAAUAUCGAUAAUGUUUUCUGAUUUGUGAUUUUCUUGCUCGUAAUUUUAAAAGAUGCCAAGGUACACCAAAUAACGGCCUUAUAGCUGUUAGACUUUUCAACAUGAAAAAGCUGGGCAGAGUCUUAGAAAACCUCUAUUUGGACAGCUGAUGUUCUAUGAUCAGACACAUGUUGAUCAAUUUGUUGCCAAUUAUACCACACCUACAUCAAACAAGGAGUGUCAUGGUUUUCUUGCUGGGAAUGCUGUUUGAUCAAUGAAUCGCUACAGAGAUCUUGAUGAAACAGCAAUCUUUGGGCGAGGCUGUCGACAUGAGUUUCCUAAAAAAUUCUUAAAUUUGAAACAUGGAGAGAGGUCUGCACAUUUUUUGCAAACACAGAAUACUUAAAAUCUCUACUACAUGCCAUUAAUUAACACUACAAAAGUUUUCUACUUCAUAGAA